AGUCCAUACUCAUCGGAGGUUCUUCGAUGGGGGAUCUUCCAAUGCUUAAGUCAGUCGGAGCUUGAGAAUAGUAGAAGAGGAAAAGUAUGAGUUUAGUGUCACGUACCUUAAGGAUCCCCUCACUACCUCUUUAUAUAAAGAUGGGUUGCAGGCUGUUACAUAGGCUGGUGGGUCAGAUCAUGAUUUAUUAGACUUUAAGAUAGGAAAUCUGCAAAUCCGAGAUUGUUAAUCAUAGAUAGUGACCACGUUCUAACAAAGAUUCUUAGUGGUGGCC
rnacentral:lncRNA from 1 species